rnacentral:tRNA from 1 species
AGUAAAGAAAGGAUUUAAACCAAUAUAAGUAGAUUUACAGCCCACCGCUUAAUGUUCAGCCACUUUACC